rnacentral:lncRNA from 1 species
CUGGUGCCAUUAGGGAAGGAAGGAGGCUAAACAUCCGGUAAGUUCUAUGGAAAUGACAAAGCUCACUGGAAUUCCAUAUGUCCCUGGCCAUCCUCAGCUUCAUGUCUGCUCCAUUUCCUACCAGCACCCUGACUAAAAACCAUUCAGGUCAAAAUUAGGAAAUGACUGUGUGACAUUAGGACCCAGGAGCCCCCAAGGAGCAGAUUAUGGCCAUGACAUCAUAAACACACAAUGUCUCAGGAACAGUGAGGUGAUGCCUAAGAGAAAGCACUGACUCACAGGCAGCAUGACCUGACAGGGUCGAGGGGAAAGCAAGACAGAAUGAACCACCCAUUCAACAUCAGCUGCUACUCAGCCAACUGCAGUGUGGACGCUCCAAGUCUUCCCCUAGCUGGGUAUCCAACUCCUCUCCCAGACUCAGCUUAACCCACACCAUCUCUCACUUCUCCUUCUCAGCUUCCUCAGCUCCUCUCCUUCCCCUGGAUUACUCCUGCCUCAUCAUGAAGUUCAGACAGUGUUUCCUUUGUAAAAUGUCCUCUGGCUGGGCUCAACACUGGCUGGUGUACAUUCCAGUGACCUGAUCACAUUCACUAUGGAAACCAAAAGCAGCCUCAAGCUUCUGCUCCCUCUGCCCAUCCUCCAGCUGGAAUUGUAUGCAGCCACCGCCACACCCAGGUCAAGUGGUGUCAGGAAUUGAAUCCAAGACUUCAUGCACAGUGGGCAAGAACUCAACUGAGCCACAUCCCUGUCCCUGCUCUCUUCCAGUUAGGUUUAACAAGCAGUCACACUGUGCUACGGGCAGUAGACAGCUCCAAGCUACGCACUGCUUGGUCGUCUUCCCUACAGAAAAACUUCCAUUCAAGAUGCAUCUCUGUGCUCUACGCAGAGCACCAGCCCUCCGUUGACAACCCAUAGGCCUGGACAGUGCUUCUCCACCUUCCUAAUGCUGUGA